GGACGGCCAGGGCAGAGCCUUCAGGAGGAAGGAACAGGCAAACCCCAGCGACCUGGCCGAGGUCCGGGCGGGCCUCACAGCUGGCCAUUACAAACCUUCACCCUUCCCCACCGUCACCUGGCAGGUGAGGGGAUGGAAGCAGGUUCUACGAGGAGCCCCGAAGGCCACAGCAGGACGUUGGGUCUCCAGGGCCCCGGGCAGGCCCACCCCACCUGGCGCCCAGUAGAAUGAGCUGGGAAGGCCCCAUCCGCAGCAAGAGGUGCGUCUCCCAGGUGCAGCUCCUCAGCCUCACGUGGUGGUUCCUGCCCCGAGUGGGGAAACGGACGCCUGUCCUGUGAAGGCUUCACAGCCUCCUGAAUCAAGCUGCUGGUGUAUCGACUGAGGACAGGAGCAUACCACUCAGGUCUAGAACCAGGCCUCCUCUUCCCUCCA
ensembl:lncRNA